GAUGAACGCUGGCGGUAUGCUUAACACAUGCAAGUCGAACGGACUCUUCGGAGUUAGUGGCGGACGGGUGAGUAACGCGUGAGAAUCUGGCUUUGGGUUCGGGACAACCACUGGAAACGGUGGCUAAUACCGGAUGUGCCGAGAGGUAAAAGAGAAAUUGCCUGAAGAUGAGCUCGCGUCUGAUUAGCUAGUUGGUGAGGUAAAGGCUCACCAAGGCAGCGAUCAGUAGCUGGUCUGAGAGGAUGACCAGCCACACUGGGACUGAGACACGGCCCAGACUCCUACGGGAGGCAGCAGUGGGGAAUUUUCCGCAAUGGGCGAAGGCCUGACGGAGCAUUACCGCGUGAGGGAAGAAGGCUCUUGGGUUGUAAACCUCUUUUCUUAGGGAAGAACAAAAUGACGGUACCUAAGGAAUCAGCAUCGGCUAACUCCGUG
rnacentral:rRNA from 1 species